GACGAGGAUAACCAUUGGAAACAGUGGCUAAGACUGGAUAGGAAGAUAAAAGGCAUCUUUUAUCUUUUAAAAGACCUAGUAAUAGGUAUGCUUUAGGAGGGGCUUGCGCCAUAUUAGUUAGUUGGUAGGGUAAUGGCCUACCAAGACGAUGAUGUGUAGCUGGACUGAGAGGUUGAACAGCCACAUUGGGACUGAGACACGGCCCAAACUCCUACGGGAGGCAGCAGUAGGGAAUUUUCGGCAAUGGAGGAAACUCUGACCGAGCAACGCCGCGUGAAUGACGAAGUACUUCGGUAUGUAAAGUUCUUUUAUCAAGGAAGAAAAGCAAAUGGCGAACCAUUUGUUUGCCGGUACUUGAUGAAUAAGCCCCGGCUAAUUAUGUGCCAGCAGCCGCGGUAAGACAUAAGGGGCAAGUGUUAUCCGGAAUUAUUGGGCGUAAAGGGUGCGUAGGCGGUCUAGUAAGUCAGUGGUGUAAUGGCAACGCUUAACGUUGUCCGGCUAUUGAAACUGCUAAACUUGAGUUAGAUAGAGGCGAGUGGAAUUCCAUGUGUAGCGGUAAAAUGCGUAAAUAUAUGGAGGAACACCAGAGGCGUAGGCGGCUCGCUGGGUCUUAACUGACGCUGAGGCACGAAAGCGUGGGGAGCAAACAGGAUUMGAUACCCUGGUAGUCCACGCCGUAAACGAUGAGUACUAAGUGUCGGGUUAAACCGGUACUGAAGUUAACACAUUAAGUACUCCGCCUGAGUAGUACGUACGCAAGUAUGAAACUUAAAGGAAUUGACGGGACUCCGCACAAGCGGUGGAUCAUGUUGUUUAAUUCGAAGAUACCCGAAAAACCUUACCAGGUCUUGACAUGUUUUUGCAAAAUGAUAGUAAUAUCGUGGAGGUUACCAGAAACACAGGUGGUGCAUGGUUGUCGUCAGCUCGUGUCGUGAGAUGUUAGGUUAAGUCCUAAAACGAGCGAAACCCUUAUCGUUAGUUGCCAGCACGUUAUGGUGGGGACUUUAACGAGACUGCCAAUGAUAAAUUGGAGGAAGGUGAGGAUCACGUCAAAUCAGCAUGCCCCUUAUGACCUGGGCUACAAACGUGAUACAAUGGCUGUUACAAAGGGUAGCUGAAACGCAAGUUCUUGGCCAAUCCCCAAAAACAGUCCCAGUCCGGAUUGAAGUCUGCAACUCGACUUCAUGAAGUUGGAAUCGCUAGUAAUCGCGAAUCAGCAUGUCGCGGUGAAUACGUUCUCGGGGUUUGUACACACCGCCCGUCAAACCACGAAAGUUGGCAAUACC
rnacentral:rRNA from 1 species